rnacentral:lncRNA from 13 species
CUUACAUAAUAGAUAUCUUUAUCUUGUGUUUUUCAGAAAUUGAGAUUAUAAAGCUCUUGAAGUGAGAACAUUGCUCACAAAUUGAGAAAACUAAUUAUAAUCUGCUUUCCACCUCUUCAGAGUUGAGCCUUUGCAUCACAUAAUGUGUUGAGAUCAAAAAGAGUAAAAUAAUGAUUAAAAACCUGAGGUGUGAGUGUUUUCAUGCUAUUAGAAAGGUGAGAAACCCCAUUUAACACUUCUGCUGUAGCCUUCAGAUUACACCUAGAAAAUUGCUGGAUUGCUGCUGCCUUACAAAUUGAUGACUGGGAUCAGCUCAAGUUGAGAAGAAAAUGAUAAUUGCAAAAGCAAAGAAGAAAUAAGUGCUGUACAGGAGGCAUGGCACUGGCAUCUGCUUCUCAGGAGGCCUUCAAUAGCAUACAGUCAUAAAGGAAAGGGAAGUAGAAGCUUGCACAUGAAGUGGAAAAAGCAGGAACAAGCAAGAGUAGGGGGAGCUGCCACACACUUUUAACAGUACCAAGAGGAUGGUAUUAAACCAUUCUUGAGAAAUCCACCCCCGUGAUCUAAUCUCCUCUCACCAUGCCCUACCUCCAACAUUAAGUGUUGUAAUUCAACAUGAGAUUUGGGUGGGGAUACAUAUCCAAACCAUAGCAGCACUUAAUUAUAUAUAAUAUGAGGUAUAGAAUUUUGUAGAAAUGUCACCAAUUUAAGAAUAAUUAUGAAAGUUUCAUUUAAUUCCUACUUUGCUUCUAUUUUUUAUUAUAGUAGUUAAAUGCUAUUAAAUACUGUCUCUGAAUAUCUCACAAUAAUUUUCCACUUUUAUUCUGAGAUUGUGGUGAAUCACAUUAAGUAAUCUUCAAAUGUUGAACAACCAUUUCAAUCAUGGUACAAGACUAACUCGGUUGUAAUACAGUCAUGAUCUUUUUUGUAUGUCACUGGACACAAUUUGCUAAUUUUUCAUUUAUGUACCUGAUGUAGUUUGGUCUGUCAUUUUUCUUUUUCAGACUGUUUUUCCAUGUUUUAGUGUCAUGGUUAUGUUAACUCAUUUAAAAAAUUGUAGGAAUAGUUUACAUUUUUCUGUUCUUUAGAAGUGUUUGUGUAAGAUGUCUUGGAAUUUGGAAUAAUUGAGUAGUAAGUCAUUUGGUCCUGAACUUUUCUUGGAAAUGUUUUAAAUAAUUAAUGACUAUAGAAUUCUCAUUAGAACUAUAUAAGCCAAAACAAAAGAGUACAUAAUUUUUCAAAAGCAACUUCAGAAAUAAAAAUAAAAGUAAAAUAAAAUAAUUUGCCUAC